rnacentral:pre_miRNA from 1 species
UGGACAGAUUAUUGUAUUCGACUGUAUUCAUGGCGUGAAACAGGGGAUUACACUAUUUUUAAACGGAAAGUGAAUCAAUUAACAUAAUGGACUCCU